rnacentral:tRNA from 1 species
GGUAAGAUGGCUGAGUUUUAAGCGGUGGAUUGUAGCCCCAUAGACAGAAGUUCAAAUCUUCUUCUUACCA